rnacentral:rRNA from 1 species
GACGAACGCUGGCGGCGUGCCUAACACAUGCAAGUCGAACGGAGAUUUCAGCAAUGAAAUCUUAGUGGCGAACGGGUGAGUAACGCGUAGACAACCUACCUUCUAGAUGGGGACAACACUGCGAAAGUGGUGCUAAUACCGAAUGUUGUAUCGAUGAUGCAUAUCGUUGAUACUAACGAUGGCCUCUAUUUAUAAGCUAUCGCUAGAAGAUGGGUCUGCGUCUGAUUAGCUAGUUGGUGAGGUAAUGGCUCACCAAGGCGACGAUCAGUAGCCGGUCUGAGAGGAUGAACGGCCACACUUGGACUGAGAAACGGACCAGACUCCUACGGGAGGCAGCAGUGGGGAAUCUUCCACAAUGGACGAAAGUCUGACGGAGCAACGCCGCGUGAGUGAUGAAUGUUUUCGGAUCGUAAAACUCUGUUUUCAGGGACGAAUGUGGGUCGUGUAAAUAAUGCGGCCUAAUGACGGUACCUGAGUAGAAAGCCACGGCUAACUACGUGCCAGCCGCCGCCGUAA